rnacentral:tRNA from 1 species
GCACUCGUAGCUCAGCUGGAUAGAGCGCCGGACUUCGAAUCCGUAGGUCGCAGGUUCGAAUCCUGCCGGGUGCA